rnacentral:lncRNA from 1 species
CAUGUAACUAUGUACCAUUCAGAUGUACAACAUGUAACUAUGUACCAUUCAGAUGUACAACAUGUAACUAUGUACCAUUCAGAUGUACAACAUGUAACUAUGUACCAUUCAGAUGUACAACAUGUAACUAUGUACCAUUCAGAUGUACAAUAUGUAACUAUGUACCAUUCAGACGACAGUAUCUCUGGUCUCUCAUAUCAUCUCUGUGCUUCCAGUCAGUGUGUUAAGGUGGGCUGAGUGUUUAGUGAGAGGAGACGACAGUAUCUCUGGUCUCUCAUAUCAUCUCUGUGCUUCCAGUCCGUGUGUUAAGGUGGGCUGAGUGUUUAGUGAGAGGAGACGACAGUAUCUCUGGUCUCUCAUAUCAUCUCUGUGCUUCCAGUCAGUGUGUUAAGGUGGGCUGAUGUUUAGUGAGAGACAGUUCCUGUGUAAAUAACAUACAAGCUCCUGUGUUACUACACAGUGGGGAUGUACCCCUCAAAUGGCACCCUAUUCCCUAUAAUAGUGCACUACUUUUGACCAAAGCCACAUACAGUAGGGCACCAUAUAUACCUCCCUUCCUCUUCUCCCUCCCUCUCCUUCUUCUACUUUCUCCCUCUCUCUCCCCCUUCUCCCUCUCUCUCCCCCUUCUCCCUCUCUCUCCCUCCCUCUCCUUCUUCUACUUUCUCCCUCUCUCUCCCCCUUCUCCCUCUCUCUCCCUCUUCUCCCUCUCUCUCCCUCCCUCUCCUUCUUCUACUUUCUCCCUCUCUCUCCCCCUUCUCCCUCUCUCUCCCUCUUCUCCCUCUCUCUCCCUCCCUCUCCUUCUUCUACUUUCUCCCUCUCUCUCCCUCUUCUCCCUCUCUCUCCCUCCCUCUCCUUCUUCUACUUUCUCCCUCUCUCUCCCCCUUCUCCCUCUCUCUCCCUCUCUCUCCCUCUCUCUCCCUCCCUCUCCUUCUUCUACUCCCCCUUCCCCUUCUUCCCCCUUUCUUCCUCUCUUCCACUCCCCUCUCUCCCCC